rnacentral:lncRNA from 1 species
GUUAUACAUGACAGUAGAAUGCAUUUAUGUCCUUUGAUAUUUCAUACAUAGAUGGGAUAUGAUUUCUCAUUUUUCUGAGUGUACAUGUUGUAGAACCACAUUGGUCAUGCAGUCACACAUAUGCAUAAAGCAAUAAUGUCUGUUUCAUUCUACUAUCUUUCCUAUCCCCACAUCCCCUCCCCUCCCCUCCCAUCACUUCCCUCUACCUAAUCUAAGGUAACGCUAUUCUUCCCUAGUGCCCAUCAACUUAUUGUGAAUUCACAUCCACUUAUUAGGGAAAACAUUCGGACUUUGGCUUCGUGGGAUUGGCUUAUUUCACUUAGCAUGAUAUUCUCCAACUCCAACCAUCUACUGGUAAAUUCCAAAAUUUCACUCUUCUUUAAAGCUGAGUAAUAUUCCAUUGAGUAUAGGUACCACAUUUUCUUUAUCCAUUCAUCUAUUGAGGGACACCUCGGUUGGUUCCAUAGUCUAGCUAUUGUGAACUGAGCUGCUAUAAUCAUUGAUGUGGCUGCGUCACUAUAGUAUGCUGAUAACCAUAUUUAUGUGGUUUGUCUCUGUGUCCUCUAUUCUGUACCUUUGGUCUCCAUGUCUAUUUUGGUGUUUGACCACACGGUUGGAGCCUGACCAAGUUGACACAUUAAGUCCUUUGAGUAUAAACCAAGGAGUGGGAAGGGAUAGCUGGGUCAAAUAGUAGUUCUAUUUCCAAUUUUCUGAGGAGUCUCCAUACUGAUUUCCAUAGCAGUUUCACCAACUUGCAGUCCCACCAGCGAUGUCUGGGGGUACCUUUUCCCCACAUCCUCGCCAACAUUUAUUGUUGCCUGUAUUCUUGAUGAUCAUCAUUCUGACAGGGGUGAGAUGAAAUCUCAGAGUAGCUUUGAUUGCUGGAGAUGUUGAACACUGUCUCAUAUAUUUGUUGAUCAGUGGCAUUUCUUCUUCUGGGAGGUGUCUGUUCAGUUCCUUGGCCCAUUUAUUGAUUGGGUUAUUUGUUUUUUGGUGUUCGGUUUUUUGAGUUCUUUAUAUAUCCUAGAGAUUAAUGCUUUAUUGGAGGUGGAUGUGGUAAAGAUUUUCUCCCAAACUGUAGGCUCUCUCCUCACUUUACUGUUUCCUUCGCUGAGAAAACGCUUUUUAAUGUGAAUCCGUCCCAUUUAUUAAUUCUUGAUUUUACUUCUUGAGCUUCAGGAGUCUUGUUCAGGAAGUCAGAGCCUAGGCCGACGUGGUGAAGAUCGGGGCCCAUUUUCUUCUAUUAGACACAGGGUCUCUGUUCUAGUGCCUAAGUCUUUGAUCCACUUUGAGUUGAUUUUUGUGCAGGGUGAGAGAGAGGGGUUUAGUUUCAUUUUGCUACACAUGGAUUUCCAGAUUUUCUUUUCUCCAGUGGAUGUUUUUUGGCACCUUUGUCUAAGGUGACAUCACCAUAUUUAUGUGAUUUGUCUCUGUGUCCUCUAUUCUGUACCUUUGGUCUCCAUGUCUGUUUUGGUGUUUGACCACACGGCUGGAGCCUGACCAAGCUGACACAUUAAAUCAGCACCAGGGCUGUCAACAGAAUAAGCAAGUCCGAGUACAGGAAAGGUGUGGGGUAUGCGGUACCCUCCUCAUCCCUGGCUGCCCCUCGCCCAUGAAGCAUCCAAUUCGCAUCAUUGAACAACACUCUCAUGAGUAUCCCAGGGGACCAUUUGAGCCCCAACAGAUUCACCAGGCCCAUAGUUGAAGCAAAUCCUUCCCAACAGUUUCACCCCUUUGGCUGAUUUCUCAGGGAAUCCCAGGCUCAGCCUCGGCACACACAGAAGUGAACCUGUGCCAGCUGAUGCGGGUGGCCCAGCCCCUCCUCCCCUCCAUCCCGCCGGCUCCAGGCCAAGUUCCCAGUGCUGAAAACCUUAAGCUCCUAAUAAUCCACCUUCAUAAUCCACAAGGCCGACAAAAUCACCUCUGAAUUCUUGGGUGGUGAAGGGUGCCCUUCUACCCUGCAAGUGCUUUGACUUGAUGAAUCAUUAAAGCUCAGCUUUCCACACACCACCCUGUGGCCCCUGGGAAAGGCCCCCUGACCAGCCCUUGGAGACCUGCUUCCAACAAGACCCUCCUGCGAGUGGAGGAGUCCUCAGCCAAGGCCAGGAUCUUUGGAAUGUGCACGCACAGGGCUGGGACUCUGUUUCUGUUGGGAGUGCCAGCCCCGCGAGGUUUCGCGUUUGGGUUAACUGUGGUCACACGAAGGCGGCUGGCUUCAUGCAGAUCAAAGGUGAAGGUUUUGUGGCCUCUUGCAGUUUGUGACAGUUUCUGAGACACUUGUCAGGGGGGCACAAAAGGAAUGUGAGAGAGAGACAGCGAUGGAGAGAACGGAAUGAGAACGAGGCGGCAUCCAAAUCACCAGGAAGGUGCAGACGUGCGUGAGCCGGGGCUUAUCAGGGCGGCCUGUCGGUUUUUGAGGUCACCGAUCCCAGCUCUGCUCAGGAGGUUCGCCAAGUCAGGAGCUGCAGGGAGUCAUCGGGGUUUAUCAGCUCUUCACGUUUGUCACGGAGGCUGGCCCGGGUGGCGCCAGCUCCUGGCUGGCCUUGCGUCCUCUCCAGCCCUCUGCCAGCUCCACCCCAAGAGUCCCAGUCGCAGGCUCACAGGGACUUCAGGGCGGCAGGUGACAUGGACAGGAGCUGAAUUCACCACACCUGGUGUCCCCUCAUGUGGUGAACUCACAGGUCACCUCACAUGAGGACCCCUGGGCACGGGCAUGCUCCACAGGCGCAGAGCUCCGCUUCAGGAGUCAGACGUCCUGCUGGGGCCCUCGGAGCCAUAAUUUUAAAAAGCACCCGUAGUCCCCAAGGUCAUCGUACGUCCAUGCACGCAGUACGCUAGAGCAUCUCCCAGAUAACACGGCCGACUAGAGCUGGCCUGGGGCUAGGGACAAGAUGAGCAAGCAGAGGACCUUGCUCACUCCGGCCACCAGGGGGAGACAAAGCGAGAACAGAAAAUGCCCAAUAAAAACCAGUGAAGCAGCCGGGUGCGGCCCAGGUG